rnacentral:rRNA from 1 species
UACGUAGGGGGCCAGCGUUGCUCGGAAUUACUGGGCGUAAAGGGUUCGUAGGCGGUGCGGCAAGUCGGGAGUGAAAUCUCUGGGCUCAACUCAGAGGCUGCUUCCGAAACUGCCGUGCUUGAGUGCGGGAGAGGCGAGUGGAAUUACAGGUGUAGCGGUGAAAUGCGUAGAUAUCUGUAGGAACACCCGUGGCGAAGGCGGCUCGCUGGACCGCAACUGACGCUGAGGAACGAAAGCUAGGGGAGCAAACAGG